UAUAAUUGUCGGGAUGCCCCAAAACAUUAGGAGCAUAAAAAAUCCAAAUGGAAAAAAAGAUAGCAAAAGCUACCCAACCUACUAGAUCCUUUACAUAAAAAUAAGUGAUCUUGAUCUCAACAAGAGGUAAAACGCAUACUAAGUACCAAACAUACCUUCUGAACAAGUAAAGAACUAGAUGUAUUUACUAUAUGCUUUACAUAAAAAUAAGGGUAAGAAGCAAUUUUAUCCAUCUAUGAAUGUACACCCAAUGGAUUAUUGGAUCCAUAUUGAUGCAAUGCGACCAGAUGAAGAAGACUGGCGCCUACUAAAAUAAAGGGGAGUAAAUGAUGAAGACUAAAAA
rnacentral:lncRNA from 1 species